rnacentral:rRNA from 1 species
UACGGGGGGUGCAAGCGUUGUUCGGAUUUAUUGGGCGUAAAGCGCGUGUAGGCGGUUUCUUAAGUCUGAUGUGAAAGCCCUGGGCUCAACCCAGGAAGUGCAUUGGAUACUGGGAGACUUGAAUACGGGAGAGGGUAGUGGAAUUCCUAGUGUAGGAGUGAAAUCCGUAGAUAUUAGGAGGAACACCGGUGGCGAAGGCGGCUACCUGGACCGAUAUUGACGCUGAGACGCGAAAGCGUGGGGAGCAAACAGG